rnacentral:rRNA from 1 species
CCGACGGGUGAGUAACACGUAUGCAAUCCACCUGUAACAGGGGGAGUAACCCGGAGAAAUCCGGACUAAUACCCCAUAAUAUGGGCGCUCCGCAUGGAGAGCCCAUUAAAGAGAGCAAUCUUGGUUACAGACGAGCAUGCGCUCCAUUAGCCAGUUGGCGGGGUAACGGCCCACCAAGGCGACGAUGGAUAGGGGUUCUGAGAGGAAGGUCCCCCACAUUGGAACUGAGACACGGUCCAA